UACGUAGGGUGCAAGCGUUAAUCGGAAUUACUGGGCGUAAAGCGUGCGCAGGCGGUCUGUUAAGAGAGAUGUGAAAUCCCCGGGCUCAACCUGGGAACUGCAUUUGUGACUGCAUCGCUGGAGUGCGGCAGAGGGGGAUGGAAUUCCGCGUGUAGCAGUGAAAUGCGUAGAUAUGCGGAGGAACACCGAUGGCGAAGGCAAUCCCCUGGGCCUGCACUGACGCUCAUGCACGAAAGCGUGGGGAGCAAACAGG
rnacentral:rRNA from 1 species